CUUUUACAAUGAAGAGUUUGAUCCUGGCUCAGGAUGAACGCUAGCUACAGGCUUAACACAUGCAAGUCGAGGGGCAGCAUCAUCAAAGCUUGCUUUGAUGGAUGGCGACCGGCGCACGGGUGAGUAACACGUAUCCAACCUGCCGACAACACUGGGAUAGCCUUUCGAAAGAAAGAUUAAUACCGGAUGGCAUAGUUUUCCCGCAUGGGAUAAUUAUUAAAGAAUUUCGGUUGUCGAUGGGGAUGCGUUCCAUUAGGCAGUUGGCGGGGUAACGGCCCACCAAACCAACGAUGGAUAGGGGUUCUGAGAGGAAGGUCCCCCACAUUGGAACUGAGACACGGUCCAAACUCCUACGGGAGGCAGCAGUGAGGAAUAUUGGUCAAUGGACGAGAGUCUGAACCAGCCAAGUAGCGUGAAGGAUGACUGCCCUAUGGGUUGUAAACUUCUUUUAUACGGGAAUAAAGUUAGCCACGUGUGGCUUUUUGUAUGUACCGUAUGAAUAAGGAUCGGCUAACUCCGUGCCAGCAGCCGCGGUAAUACGGAGGAUCCGAGCGUUAUCCGGAUUUAUUGGGUUUAAAGGGAGCGUAGGCGGGUUGUUAAGUCAGUUGUGAAAGUUUGCGGCUCAACCGUAAAAUUGCAGUUGAUACUGGCGACCUUGAGUGCAACAGAGGUAGGCGGAAUUCGUGGUGUAGCGGUGAAAUGCUUAGAUAUCACGAAGAACUCCGAUUGCGAAGGCAGCUUACUGGAUUGUAACUGACGCUGAUGCUCGAAAGUGUGGGUAUCAAACAGGAUUAGAUACCCUGGUAGUCCACACAGUAAACGAUGAAUACUCGCUGUUGGCGAUAUACGGUCAGCGGCCAAGCGAAAGCAUUAAGUAUUCCACCUGGGGAGUACGCCGGCAACGGUGAAACUCAAAGGAAUUGACGGGGGCCCGCACAAGCGGAGGAACAUGUGGUUUAAUUCGAUGAUACGCGAGGAACCUUACCCGGGCUUAAAUUGCAACUGACUGAACCGGAAACGGUUCUUUCUUCGGACAGUUGUGAAGGUGCUGCAUGGUUGUCGUCAGCUCGUGCCGUGAGGUGUCGGCUUAAGUGCCAUAACGAGCGCAACCCUUAUCGAUAGUUACUAGCAGGUCAUGCUGAGGACUCUAUUGAGACUGCCGUCGUAAGAUGUGAGGAAGGUGGGGAUGACGUCAAAUCAGCACGGCCCUUACGUCCGGGGCUACACACGUGUUACAAUGGGGGGUACAGAAGGCAGCUACACGGCGACGUGGUGCUAAUCCCGAAAGCCUCUCUCAGUUCGGAUUGGAGUCUGCAACCCGACUCCAUGAAGCUGGAUUCGCUAGUAAUCGCGCAUCAGCCACGGCGCGGUGAAUACGUUCCCGGGCCUUGUACACACCGCCCGUCAAGCCAUGAAAGCCGGGGGUACCUGAAGUACGUAACCGCGAGGAGCGUCCUAGGGUAAAACUGGUGAUUGGGGCUAAGUCGUAACAAGGUAGCCGUACCGGAAGGUGCGGCUGGAACACCUCCUUUCU
rnacentral:rRNA from 1 species